CACUUGGAUAUAUUAAAUGUAAGUGAUCACUGAAUCUUUUAUUAUUAAGAGACAGUACAUCAUCAAUAUACCGAAAGGUGAAAUUAAAAGACUGGGCUAAUUUCUUUUCUCCUUUCUGUUCAAGCCCUUGGAUAAAUUAUGCUUCAUAGGAAUACAAAAACAAAUCUGCAAGUAGAGGAGCGCAAUUGGUACCCAUUGGGAUUCCAAUAGUCUGUAGGAAGACCAAUCCUCCAAAUUCAACAAAUAUGUUGUCAAUUAAAAAGUCCAGCAUGGCAGUGAUAUCCUUUUCGGUGUAUUUUUUCCUUGACUGUAUGAUUUUUCACAAAGUAAGCUGAAUUU
rnacentral:lncRNA from 1 species